rnacentral:rRNA from 1 species
UACGUAGGAGACUAGCGUUGUCCGGAAUUACUGGGCGUAAAGCGCGUGUAGGCGGCAUACCAAGUCUGUUGUGAAAUCGCCCGGCUCAACUGGGCGGGGUCAAUGGAAACUGGUAAGCUGGAGGACGGUAGAGGCGAGUGGAAUUCCCGGUGUAGUGGUGAAAUGCGUAGAGAUCGGGAGGAACACCUGUGGCGAAGGCGGCUCGCUGGGCCGAUCCUGACGCUGAGACGCGAAAGCUAGGGGAGCAAACGGG